rnacentral:rRNA from 1 species
GGAGGAAAAAGAAACCCGACAGGGGAUUGCCCUCAGUAACGGGCGAGUGAAGCGGCAACAGCUCAAAAUUUGAAAUCUGGCCCUAGGCCCGAGUUGUAAUUUGCAGAGGAUGCUUUUGGUGCGGUGCCUUCCAAGUUCCCUAGAACGGGACGCCAGAGAGGGUGAGAGCCCCGUACAGUUGGACACCAAGCCUUUGUAAAGCUCCUUCGACGAGUCGAGUAGUUUGGGAAUGCUGCUCAAAAUGGGAGGUAUAUUUCUUCUAAAGCUAAAUACCGGCCAGAGACCGAUAGCGCACAAGUAGAGUGAUCGAAAGAUGAAAAGCACUUUGAAAAGAGGGUUAAACAGCACGUGAAAUUGUUAAAAGGGAAGCGCUUGUGACCAGACUUGCGUCCGGUGAAUCACCCAGCUCUCGCGGCUGGGGCACUUCGCCGGCUCAGGCCAGCAUCAGCUCGCUGUCGGGGACAAAAGCUUCAGGAACGUAGCUCUCUUCGGGGAGUGUUAUAGCCUGUUGCAUAAUACCCUUCGGCGGGCUGAGGUACGCGCUCCGCAAGGAUGCUGGCAUAAUGGUCAUCAGCGACCCGUCU